GCACAGGAGGCCGGGAAGGGGGGACCCAGGAGGCUCCCGGGGGAAAAAGACUUCCUGGAAUGCUCCAGGCAAGUGGAAUUGCUCCCCGCUCCUUCGGAGGAGGUGACAGAGGGGUCGCACGGUCCCUGCUGUGUAGGAAGACCCCGGGAGCCAGGCACGUGGACGGGGGCUCCACCUGCCACCCCGAAAUCCCAGGAACACAAAGAACGCAAGGACGCCCCAGGGUCUCAGGGACUCGCGGGUUUGGGGAAACGUUCGGGGCGCCAGGCGCCCAGGUCACCUGCCCGACGCUCCCUCUGUACACCCGAACCCGAGAGCCACGCAGCGCGGACACCCCUCGUCCCCAGGGGCCACCGUCCGGACCCCGGCCGCGCUUGGCGGGAAAGACUGGCGGUAGGAGCCGCGCACAGGGUCCCGGAGUUUGCGGCUGCGGGAGCGGGGUCUUCUCUCCCUCAGUUCUGGCCGCGCCCCGGCCGGUCGGAGAAGGCAGAGGUGGGAGCGCGGCCCCGUGUGGACCCGUGUGUGCGCGCACCGGGGGGGUGCGAGUGGGAGAGGGGGGCUCAUCUCCCGGGAGAAGGGGGACCGGGAAGGGCACGAGCGCGCCGAGCCUUCGCCCACCUCCCGCCCGCUCUCCGCGCGAGCCGGUGCGCCCCCAACCGAGCCGGGUUUUCCCCAGAUUCCCCCUCGCAGGGCGCGGACGCCGUUCGCCCUUCCUCGCCUUCCGCUCACCCGGGCUCCCGCGGGACCAGCACGGACAGACGGGGCAACGCGCCGCGGGGCGCGGCCGCGAGACCUCCAUCCACGCGCGCGGUGCGGCCAGACCCGCCAGCGCCUCCGGCCGGGCGCCAGCCCCAGUCCCAGACUCCGGACGCUGAGCGCGUGGGGGCGGCACCAGCCCCGCCCCGCCCCGGAGCCUCCCCCGCCCCCUUGGCCCGAAGAGGGGGUUCCAAGGUCCCCCUUGGAGCCUCCGGCCCCCGCGCGCGACGCGCAACCCGAAAAGAAACUGCGCGGCAUCAUCCGACAGGAGCCUGCUCCCCCAGGGCCCGCUUCGGACCCGGCUCCCCCGCUGCGGACCCCCCACCCCGGCCCCGCGGCGCGCGCAACUUUACCUGCGGUCCAGACUCCGCGAGCUGCCGACUCCUCUCACCCGGCCGGCCGCCUCCCCGCGGCGGAGCGCGGCGUCUCUGGACCCGGUAUCCCGGACUCCGGCACCGCCCCGCGCACCGCCCCCGGCCGGCCUUCGGUGGCGCGGCGCCUCUCGCGUCAUCUGCGGGUCCCCAGGGCGAGCGGACCCCCGGCCAGGGCUUGGAGCCAGGGCCACUUCCACUUGAAGGGAGAGUGGAGCCCACCCGGCUGCUCUUGGGGCGCACAGGCUGGGCCCCCACACUGCACACCAGGCCCACCAGAGCACACCCUGGCAGGACCACGUGCGCUGACACUCACACAGAUAGGUGCACACUCACAUCGACAAUCAUGCAACUCUCACACACUGCCAUACUCAAUCACACACAGGUGCACACUGAUUCUCACACGCUCAUAACCCCAUUCAUUCACACUCACAUGCAUGCAUAUACCCAUAAGCACAUUCAUCUAGGCACACAUGGACACACACACAGGUGCACGCUCACAUCGGCAAUUCAUGCAACUCACACACUGCCACAGUCACAACAGUCACACUCAUCAGCAAUCCAUGCAUCUCACUGCCACACGAAUAAUCACACACAGGUGCACACUGACUCACAUACACACUCAGCCCCACUCAUUCACACUCACAUGCAUGCACGCUCAUAA
rnacentral:lncRNA from 13 species